rnacentral:rRNA from 1 species
GAGUCAUGGGUGUCAACCUAAAGGCGGAAUGAAAGUGAAGAUCGGCUCGACCGGUUGAUAUGGGAUCCGUUCGGUCACGGCCGAGCGGCGCACCAUAGCCCCGUCUCGACUGCUUGCAGUGGGGCGGAGGCAGAGCGUACACGUUGGGACCCGAAAGAUGGUGAACUAUGCCUGAGCAGGACGAAGCCAGAGGAAACUCUGGUGGAGGUCCGAAGCGGUUCUGACGUGCAAAUCGAUCGUCAGACUUGGGUAUAGGGGCGAAAGACUAAUCGAACCAUC